GACGAACGCUGGCGGCGUGCUUAACACAUGCAAGUCGAACGAUGAACCACUUCGGUGGGGAUUAGUGGCGAACGGGUGAGUAACACGUGGGCAAUCUGCCCUUCACUCUGAGACAAGCCCUGGAAACGGGGUCUAAUACCGGAUGAUACUUCCACUCGCAUGGGUGGGGGUUGAAAGCUCCGGCGGUGAAGGAUGAGCCC
rnacentral:rRNA from 1 species